AAAACACAUCUACUGUCAAAAUUUCAUUAUUCUAGGUUCAGCCGUUUGGGCUGUGCGAUGAUGAAUCAGUCAAUCAGUAACGCUACUCUUUUUAUAUAGGGUAAAUGUACCAGUAGUCGGCAGUUUAACGUUUUGCUCUUUUUCAAACUAUCCCCCUAAAGAGUCGGAAAAUAUCAAAAACACCAUAUUUUUUAUCAAAUAAAGGUGGACCCUUAAUAAAUUUGAACUGUUUCUCGUAAUUAUUUACAAUUUUAUUUAAAAAAUGCCGACUACUGGGUCAUGCCGACAUUAGGUGCAUUUACCCUAUAUAGAA